GGGUCGGGAUAUGAUGUCGGCUCGCUUCCGGGUGUUCGGGAAUCAGGUUAAAGGCCUGUACUGCCCCCGCAACGGUAGGCGAGUGAGGGCGCCCCACGCAUGGCCACUGCGCUCAUCGCAACGAUGAGCGCGGGAAGGCGGGACGCCAAGACUCGCGAGUCCGGAGACCGGCCGGGAAGCCUUCUCGCCA
rnacentral:ncRNA from 2 species